GAUGAACGCUAGCGAUAGGCCUAACACAUGCAAGUCGAGGGGCAUCACAUGAAGUAGCAAUACGGAUGGUGGCGACCGGCGCACGGGUGAGUAACACGUAUGCAACCUGCCUUCAACAAGGGGAUAACCCGUUGAAAGACGGACUAAUACCCUAUAACACAGGGGUCCCGCAUGGGAAUAUUUGUUAAAGGACAACCGGUUGAAGAUGGGCAUGCGUUCCAUUAGCUAGUUGGCGGGGUAACGGCCCACCAAGGCAACGAUGGAUAGGGGGAACUGAGAGGUUUAUCCCCCACACUGGUACUGAGACACGGACCAGACUCCUACGGGAGGCAGCAGUGAGGAAUAUUGGUCAAUGGACGCAAGUCUGAACCAGCCACGUCGCGUGAAGGAAGACGGCCCUACGGGUUGUAAACUUCUUUUAUACGGGAAUAAAGUGCCCCACGCGUGGCCUUUUGCAAGUACCUUGCGAAUAGGAUCGGCUAACUCCGUGCCAGCAGCCGCGGUAAGU
rnacentral:rRNA from 1 species